GAGCAUGGAAAGCUAACUGACAGUUCCAGCUGGGAUUAUCUCAGGAUUGCUGCUGUAAAACUUUUCCCGAGACGCGGCCGCUUGGCUGAGGAAGCUGACACAGCAACGGCUCACGCUCGUGAUUAGUGCGUCGCAGUAACACCGCGACGAACGCGCCGUCGGGGCCGGGGAGCGGCGUUCUCCGGGCUGCUGCUCGAGUUUUAACGGGAGUUGCAGGUUCCAACCCGUCACCGUGACGACAGGAUCGACUCGUCGGGGGCAACUGUUUCCGAAGAUUAACACGCGGUGGGGUCGUGUGAAGUACAGCGGACAGCUUUUUCAGCCUGAGCCGAUCUCCAAAGCGCACGCGGAGAAAUGAGUGGCCAGGAUCAAACGCGUCCCAUCAAACUCAUGUCCUUAAAGGAAUCUGAGUUGCAGUGGAAGAGACGAGGCGGAAAAAGGGGAGAAUUUAGCUUUUAAGCUGUCGCGUGUGGAAAAUAAGCGACUCCUCCGGGGGUCGCACACAAAGACCUCACUAAGCCACUCUGGGCCGGAUUUGGGCUUUAAACGGAGACUUUUAGCCAACUACUGCUGCAGGCCAUGGUGAACAAAUUACCCACGUUGCACCUGCUCAUAUUUCUGCUCUGUAUCAGCGCGGUGCAGCAGGUCCAUGCAGGGAGAAUAAAUGUGACGGGAGGAACAAACGCCGGAGCGAGACGCAUCAAUCAG